rnacentral:rRNA from 1 species
UCAGGAUGAACGCUGGCGGCGUGCCUAAUACAUGCAAGUCGAGCGAGAAUCAGUUGAUCGGAGAUUCGUCAAAGUGAAGCUGAGGAAAGCGGCGGACGGGUGAGUAACGCGUAGGCAACCUGCCCUUAGCAGAGGGAUAGCCAUUGGAAACGAUGAUUAAAACCUCAUAAUGCUGUUUUUACACAUGUAGAGACAGCCAAAGAUUUAUCGGCUAAGGAUGGGCCUGCGUCUGAUUAACUAGUUGGUGAGGUAACGGCUCACCAAGGUGACGAUCAGUAGCCGACCUGAGAGGGUGAUCGGCCACAUUGGAACUGAGACACGGUCCAAACUUCUACGGAAGGCAGCAGUAAGGAAUCUUGCACAAUGGGGGAAACCCUGAUGCCAGCAACGCCGCGUGAACGAUGAAGGCCUUAGGGUUGUAAAGUUCUGAUCUGUGGGAAGAAGAAGUGACGGUACCACAGGAGAAAGCCCCGGCUAAAUACGUGCCAGCAGCGGC